UUGGUUGUGCCGGGGUAAGCGUGUAGGCCGUGGUGUAGGCAAAUCCGCACCACAUGAAGGCUCAGACGUGAUGCCGAGCCGAUUCAGGUGAAGUCAGUGAUCCUAUGCUGCCGAGAAAAGCCUCUAGCGAGUUCUUAGCGGCCCGUACCCCAAACCGACACAGGUGGUCAGGUAGAGAAUACCGAGGCGAUCGGGCGAACUGUGGUUAAGGAACUCGGCAAAUUGCCCCCGUAACUUAGGGAGAAGGGGGGCCGGAGACGUGAAGCCCCGCGCGGGUGGAGCGUUGUAUGGCCGCAGAGAGCAGGGGGAAGCGACUGUUUACUAAAAACACAGGUCCAUGCGAAGAAGUAAUUCGAUGUAUAUGGACUGACGCCUGCCCGGUGCUGGAACGUUAAGGGGACCUGUUAGCUCUUCGGGGCGAAGCGGAGAACUUAAGCGCCAGUAAACGGCGGUGGCAACUAUAACCAUCCUAAGGUAGCGAAAUUCCUUGUCGGGUAAGUUCCGACCUGCACGAAUGGCGUAACGACUUCCCCACUGUCUCAACCACAGGCCCGGCGAAAUUGCAGUACGAGUAAAGAUGCUCGUUACGCGCGGCAGGACGGAAAGACCCCGGGACCUUUACUAUAGCUUGACAUUGGUACUCGAAUUAGCUUGUGUAGGUUAGGUGGGAGCCGGUGAAGUCCAUACGCCAGUAUGGGUGGAGGCAAUCUUGAAAUACCACUCUGGUUGAUUUGGGUAUCUAACUUCGGACCGUUAUCCGGUUCAGGGACAGUGUCUGGUGGGUAGUUUAACUGGGGCGGUUGCCUCCUAAAAGGUAACGGAGGCGCCCAAAGGUUCCCUCAGCCUGGUUGGCAAUCAGGUGUUGAGUGCAAGUACACAAGGGAGCUUGACUGUGAGACUGACAGGUCGAGCAGGGACGAAAGUCGGGACUAGUGAUCCGGCACUUGCGAGUAGAAGCGGUGUCGCUCAACGGAUAAAAGGUACCCCGGGGAUAACAGGCUGAUCUUCCCCAAGAGUCCAUAUCGACGGGAUGGUUUGGCACCUCGAUGUCGGCUCGUCGCAUCCUGGGGCUGUAGCAGGUCCCAAGGGUUGGGCUGUUCGCCCAUUAAAGCGGUACGCGAGCUGGGUUUAGAACGUCGUGAGACAGUUCGGUCCCUAUCCGCCGUGCGCGUAGGAUACUUGAGAAGGGCUGUCCCUAGUACGAGAGGACCGGGACGGACGAACCUCUGGUGUGCCAGUUGUCCCGCCAGGGGCACGGCUGGUUAGCUACGUUCGGAAGGGAUAACCGCUGAAAGCAUCUAAGCGGGAAGCCUGCUUCAAGAUGAGGUAUCCCACCCACUUUGUGGGGUAAGGCCCCCAGCUAGACGACUGGGUUGAUAGGCCGGAAGUGUAAGCCCGGUAACGGGUUCAGUUGACCGGUACUAAUAGGCCGAGGACUC
rnacentral:rRNA from 1 species